GAACACAGAUAGGAGAAACUCUGGUCUGGAAUCCCGCGGACGACAGGAAACACCAUCACGAGUCCAUCGGCCAGGCCGGCCAAAACCAGCAUCUUAGGGAGACCAGCCAAAAAACCCAUGAAAAUAGAACUGCAUUUUGAAGUUUCCAGCCUGCCUGGCAUCCAUCUGGGGCAGCAGGCCCCGCCUUCCCCCAGGAGUGCGUGCAGGGCUGCCCAGAGGAGAUUCCCGCUCGGAGACAUUCCACUCUCUCCGGUUACUGGACAGGACAAGGUCUACCGUGGUGAGGGAUUCAUUAGGUCCAGAUUUCUGAUGAAGGCUGUGUCCUGGGCUGCUCCACGUUCCCUCUUGUUUCUUUUUCUUCUGGGAAACGUCUCUAAAUUAUUCUGGUGGAUUUUUUUGCAAAUAGCGAUGGAGGCUGUGGAUGUUACUACUACAGAGGAAAACUGUGAUCAGUGAGGUCAAUUCCUCAAUUUGUAAAAAAUCUAUUUUGGUGUAGGAAACUAGAUUUUCUAGGAUGCUUAUUAGCAGGGGAAAAGGGGAAUGUAAGAUUGCUGGCUUAGACCUCUAGCCUUCCCAUUAGAAAAGAAAACAUCCCAACAAAUCAUUUGUGAAGUUACGUGCAGUUAGGGGGAAGUUUAUUCUCAUAUCAGCCCUCAGUUUUAUCAGCCUUUUCAGCUUGCGUAUGUUAAUUUUCUUGGCUCAUUUAAUACAUUUUGGUGUUUUUUUUUGUUUAGAGGCUGAUAGUUCUGAUAGCUUGAAAUCUAUUCACCAAUCCCAUUUUCUUUCUUAUUAAUCUGGAUAUAACUUGAUGUUGGAAGAAAUGGACCCAUACAAGGCAACCAUCGUAUGUAACACUGAGUUUCUGACUAGGUUAGUCAGGAAAACCCCAAAAACAUUAAGUGAGACCUGGAUAUAAAUUCCUCUCUUGGUUUCUUCAUCUGCAUCCUGACAACUCUGCUGAAGUGAGUGAACUUAUUCUGCACACCCUGACAAAGUGGUAGAGGGGUUCUUGAGGAGCAAACUAAGCUGUCUUGCAUACAGUAACAAAAAAUCUUGUUUACCUGAGAGUCAUUCCCAAAAUCUUGGUAUCCACAAAUCAAUCAAUCAUAUUUAUCAAGUAUUUACUGUGUGCAGAGCACUGUAGUAAGCACUUGGAAGAGUACAGCACAACAACAGACACAUUCCCUGCUCAAAAAGCUAAAAGGAAUUUAGCUGCUACAUAAAUAUGCAUCAUUUCUGGAACUCAAGAAUACUGAAUUACAAUGUAAAGAGCUUAAUUAAAAAACAAAUGACCUGGUUAUCCUUAUUCCCAGAUUUGAAGAUCCCUACCCUACAUUGUGGCAAACAAAAAAUUUAUUUAUGAAACACCUGAUUAUUCAUUCCUUUUCUUUUCCAUUCAGGAGAAAAUAAAAUGAGAUCCUUUGAGGUGGACUUUUUUUCCUUACCUUUUUUA